GGAAAAGUACUGUGCCUCCCUCC
rnacentral:piRNA from 1 species